AUUGAACGCUGGCGGCAUGCCUUACACAUGCAAGUCGAACGGUAACAGGUCUUCGGAUGCUGACGAGUGGCGCACGGGUGAGUAAUACAUCGGAACGUGCCCGAUCGUGGGGGAUAACGGAGCGAAAGCUUUGCUAAUACCGCAUACGAUCUACGGAUGAAAGCAGGGGACCGCAAGGCCUUGCGCGGACGGAGCGGCCGAUGGCAGAUUAGGUAGUUGGUGGGAUAAAAGCUUACCAAGCCGACGAUCUGUAGCUGGUCUGAGAGGACGACCAGCCACACUGGGACUGAGACACGGCCCAGACUCCUACGGGAGGCAGCAGUGGGGAAUUUUGGACAAUGGGCGAAAGCCUGAUCCAGCCAUGCCGCGUGCAGGAUGAAGGCCUUCGGGUUGUAAACUGCUUUUGUACGGAACGAAAAGACACUUUCUAAUAAAGAGGGUCCAUGACGGUACCGUAAGAAUAAGCACCGGCUAACUACGU
rnacentral:rRNA from 1 species